rnacentral:tRNA from 1 species
GGUAGAUUUCCCGAGCGGUCAAAGGGGUUUGACUGUAAAUCAAAUGCUAUUAGCUUCGUAGGUUCGAAUCCUACAUCUACCA